rnacentral:rRNA from 1 species
GUGAGGAAUUUUCCGCAAUGGGCGAAAGCCUGACGGAGCAAUGCCGCGUGAAGGAUGAAGGCCUAUGGGUUGUAAUCUUCUUUUCUCAGAAAAGAAUUAUGACGGUAUCUGAGGAAUAAGCAUCGGCUAACUCUGUGCCAGCAGCCGCGGUAAGACAGAGGAUGCAAGCGUUAUCCGGCAUGAUUGGGCGUAAAGCGUCUGUAGGUUGUGUAAAAAGUAUUCUGUCAAAGAUUAGGGCUUAACCCUAGAUAGGCAGAAUAAACUUUUAAGCUAGAGUUUGGUAGAGGCAGAGGGAAUUCCCGGUGGAGCGGUGAAAUGCGUAGAUAUCGGGAGGAACACCAAAGGCGAAGGCACUCUGCUGGGCCAAUACUAACACUGAGAGACGAAAGCGAGGGGAGCAAAUGGGAUUAGAUACCCGGGUAGUCC